ACGCUGCAAUUCUUUCAGUUUCUAUGAUUUUACUCUCCAAUUGAUUCCCGGUGAUUUAAGCCACCAUUUAACGAGCGGUUUGUUCCUACUUAAAGCCCUCGACUCCCUCUUCAUUUCCCCUCUGUUUCCUCAGACAAUCGUGCCCCCAGGCUGCCUCAAUUUCUCGCCGAAGACCACGGUAUCCGCCACCGUGCGAGCCUGUUUUCGUCGACCACGAGGUCACCGUCGACCGGAGCAUCUUCGGCCGUCUAUCGUCAUCGUCCCAGCAAGCGCACGGCAGCCAGCACCAUCGAACUCACUGCAUCAUGCUGAACCUCGUAGACCUCCACCUCAUGCACUUCCCCGGAGGAGCACUGAUACAUCGCCGACAACGACCACCGGAGCGCACAACCACCACGAGUCCACGACCACCAAGAACGCCCCUUUCGUACGGAGAGGCACGUAUUUUGAUUAAGAGAAGUGAACGCGCUUCGA